rnacentral:rRNA from 1 species
GAGAGAGAGAGAAAAAUAUAUGAAAUUACAUAACCCUGAACGGUGGAUCACUUGGCUUGUGGGUCGAUGAAGAACGCAGCAAAAAGCGCGUCGACGUGUGAACUGCAGGACACAUGAACAUCGACGUUUCGAACGCACAUUGCGGUCCUUGGAUUUAUAUCCUGGACCACGCCUGACUGAGGGUCGGUUACAAAAAUCGUAAAAACGACGUGUCUCUCCGCGUUCGCGCGGAGAUCAACACGUUCGGCGUGGCGCCCGUGCCUGUUGAGCGGGCGUCGAACGCGAAUUGGGAGUGUCGGUCGUCGCCUCGGCGGCGGCCGUCUCUUUAAAAAUCUGUCACGUUGCACUAGUAGAGUGGCCAGAGUUGCGCGAUCCUCGGAUCGAAGUACCUUGCCCGUCUCGCCGUAAAAGGCGUGCGGUUGCCCCGAACGUGGUGUGUAAUCAUUCAAACCGAUCGCACGCCCUCCGUUCUUGCCGUGGCCCGCGCGUUCUCAGAGUCGGUGCACUUGAGUCUCUAUGCAGCCCGCGUCGCGAUACGCUAGAAAACGAAAGGCGACGAAAGAAGUGACCAAACAAAAAUUCUAAAACGACCUCAGAUCAGGUGA